CCCUUUCAAAAUACCUAUAUUACAAAUUUGGUUGUUGUAUAAAAUAACUUACUAUUCUACUUCAGUUUGUGUUAAAACGUUGUUUACAUGUAUAUUAAAAACACUUUUUAGAAUCCUGUAGAGUGCAUUUAAAAUCCUGCGGAAUGCACGAUACUUAAUUAAUAUAUGUGCCGCCAUUGUCACAUUGAAGGUGAAACAGCACUUAAAAUUAAACUGUUGUGUUUUCAACUUUUGCUUCCGAAAAUCUGUUGUUAUCAAUUUAUUUCUGCCAAAAAUUGUUUACAAAAAUGUAAAAUCCUGCGUUUUAAUUUAAAUGUUCAAAUGAGGUAAUAACAAGCGAAUCUCUUCCCUUUCAUCUGACCAACAAUCCUUCGAUGAAUGCAAACCUUUCUACGAAAGCGCACUUAAACACAGCAAUUACAAUGUUUCUUUGGAAUAUUCUCCCAACAGCCCUUUUUCUCCACCAUCUACGAAACGAAGGCGCCAAAGAAACAUUAUCUGGUUCAACCCCCCAUUCAGCAAAUCCGUUAAAACCAACAUCGCGCGGAAUUUCCUACAGUUUCUCGAUAAACACUUCCCAAGUCCUUUGCACAAAAUAUUCAACCGUAACACAGUCAAAGUUAGCUAUAGCUGCAUGCCUAAUUUAAAGAGCGUUAUAUCUCGCCAAACAAUUGCAUCCUGUCAAAACCCACAACUACCCCACCAACAUCAGAUAACUGCAAUUGUAAUAACCCGAGUGAAUGCCCUAUUAAGAAGAACUGUAAAUCGAAAAACAUCUACAAGGCCAAAGUUACAUCACCCGACGACGGUAUCAUAAAAGAGUAUAUAGGAAUGACGGCGACUACUUUCAAAGCACGAUAUGAAAAUCACAAGAAACCCUUCAAACUUCAAAGAUAUAAAAACGAUACAGAGCUGUCAAAGUACAUCUGGGGGCUAAAGAGUAAUAAUAAAGAUUACACCCUAAAAUGGUCAAUUCUGAAGCGGGCAGGCGCAUACUCAUCUGGCGUAAAGCGUUGCAAUCUCUGCAUAGAAGAAAAACUCUGCAUAAUGGAUGCAAACAAACAUUUAACACUGAACAAAAGACCCGAGAUAUUCGCAAAAUGCCGACAUCGCGAGAAAUUUUGGGCGGGAAAUUU